UAACAAUCAUUUAGUUAAUUAGAUUUAAAAGAGGCUUGGGAAAAUGAGGGCGAAAUUCAGCAAGGCUGUAUUUUAAGGAAAUUACUAGAUUACAAAAGGUGAAAGAAGGUUGCGAGCAGAAAGAAAGGGUGAAAGCAAAAGAUAUAGGCCACAGACAGGGAGGAACAGACAUCCAAAAAAAAAAAAAAAGUAGAGCGAGUGAGGGGGAAAAAAACCAAGAGAAGAGGAACAAGAAAUAUGAGGACAGACCAAGGACAGUAGCAAGGUCUGAUACAGGAAAGAAAAACAAGCAAAAUAAAUAUGCAAGAAGAAUGCUAACAAACCUCUGUUUCCUACCUUUUCCCAUGCAAGUGUUUCCUGUGUUUCUCACCAGGGCUUAAAUGGAUUCAGUAUUCUCUUUCUGUUUUUUUUUUUUUAUAAAUAUUGGCAGUCCCAUUUGCCUGAGCUAAUGAGUUGAUAUUUAGCUGGCUCAGACACAGGCUCUUAAAGAGAGCUGCUGGGAAUUGCAGGCCAGCCGGGGGCCUUAGGGCCCACUCCACCAUGCAGAAAAAAAAAAAAAAAAAAAAAAAAAUCCUUCAAGGUGAACCGCAAUCACCACAUGUUGAGCUUCCUUAUACAGCUGACAUUAUAUCUGAGAAAUAGACAAAAAUAGUGCCAACUCACUUCAGGAUUUAAUGAACAUUUCCUUUUUUUUUAAAAUAUGCAACCUUUAAUUAAAACUGAGUGAACCUCACAAAAUCUAGAACAUGCCCGAUUUCAUAUUUCACACCAAAACAGAAAAGGAAUAAAAUUUUACAUAAAGCAAAUUAUCACACACACGCUUGAGGCAUUCGGCCAAUCACAAAGCACAGGAUAGCUGUCCAAUCAGAGCACACCUCACAAAGCUCAAAGAUGAGCUUUGUAAAAAAACGAUGCGUUUCAGGAGGCGGGGCAUAAAGGAGAACAAUAAUGUACAGUAUGUGGAAAAUAAUGUGUUUUUUGAACCUUAAACCGCAUAAACACAUUUCAUUACACCAAAUACACAAAAUAAUGUUCUUUUUAGCAACAUCAUAUGACCCCUUUAAAUAAGUCAUGUAUUUUACAGAAAUCCCAUUUUUGUUCUGGCAUCAUUAAAAUGAGGUGUUAGUGCUCUUCACAGAUCAUGCACAUAACAAGGUUCAAAAGCAACUUGGCAAAAAAUACUACUACUUUUGACAUCCCUACUCCCUACUUUAAUAUGAUCUAUCAAAUCUGUUGUCUUCAUUUGGAUGCCUAAUGAGCCUUGUAUUGAAUGAUAUCACUAUUUUAAAACUAUGCCUAAUGUGCUAUCUGCACUGUUGCUUUUAUCGCCUUGCUCAUCUUUAUCCACUAAUAAACACAAAAUGCAUGCACGCUUCAUAGAUAACUAUGACUGCAUCAUUAAUAAAUUAGCUGUACCCAUUUAUGGGUUCUGCAGCUAGAUUAGAGAUGCCACUGAAUCUGGAACAGUGCCAUCAAUGAGAGUUAUAUCUUUGUUAUGUUUGGCUGUAACAUUAAAUUUACUGAUGGCCUGCCAGUAGCCUACCAUCUCGGUUCGGUGACCUGAAGCGAUAACUUUCCCGGCAUCAUCGAAGUGGGUUGUCUCGCUCACUGGUGUAUGAAACUGGCAGCUGCUCAGUUAGAAUUCCUACAAACUGAGAUUCGUACAAAUUCAACAUUGCAGUGAGAGCUCUGUGAAUUUUUAAAAAAGACAAAAUGGUCAGAUUCAUCACAAAUAUUGGUUAAACAAAAAGGUUUUCUUGACAAGCACACAUUUCCC
rnacentral:lncRNA from 1 species